rnacentral:lncRNA from 1 species
CAGGAGAUACAACUUGUGCUUUAUGGGACAUCGAAACUGCCCAGCAGACCACCACAUUCACUGGGCAUUCUGGAGAUGUGAUGAGUCUUUCUUUGAGUCCUGACAUGAGGACUUUUGUUUCUGGUGCUUGUGAUGCCUCUUCCAAAUUAUGGGAUAUUCGAGAUGGAAUGUGUAGACAGUCUUUCACGGGACAUGUCUCAGAUAUCAAUGCUGUCAGUGGGGAAGUUUGGAGACAGGCAAGCAUAGAGGGAAGAUGAUGUGAAGAGACACAGGAGAAGACAGUCAUCUACAGGACAGUGAGAAGAUUACACAUCUUUCUGUCACAGUCCUCAGAUAUCUUGGUUUCAAGUUUCUAGCCUCCAGAACUGUGAGACAAUACAUUCCUUUUGUUUAAGCCACCCAGCUUGUGGUGCUUUGUUAUGGCAGCCUUAGCAAUGAACAUAUCUAUCUAUCUAUCUAUCAAUCAAUAAAUAAAUCAACUAUCUCCUCAG